AUUGAACGCUGGCGGCAUGCUUUACACAUGCAAGUCGAACGGCAGCGCGGGCUUCGGCCUGGCGGCGAGUGGCGAACGGGUGAGUAAUACAUCGGAACGUGCCCAGUAGUGGGGGAUAGCUCGGCGAAAGCCGGAUUAAUACCGCAUACGACCUGAGGGUGAAAGCGGGGGAUCUUCGGACCUCGCGCUAUUGGAGCGGCCGAUGGCAGAUUAGCUAGUUGGUGGGGUAAAGGCCUACCAAGGCGGCGAUCUGUAGCUGGUCUGAGAGGACGACCAGCCACACUGGGACUGAGACACGGCCCAGACUCCUACGGGAGGCAGCAGUGGGGAAUUUUGGACAAUGGGCGAAAGCCUGAUCCAGCAAUGCCGUGUGUGUGAUGAAGGCCUUCGGGUUGUAAAGCACUUUUGGCGGGAACGAAAAGGACUGUGCCAAUACCACGGUUCGAUGACGGUACCCGCAGAAUAAGCACCGGCUAACUACGUG
rnacentral:rRNA from 1 species